rnacentral:rRNA from 1 species
AUUGAACGCUGGCGGCAGGCUUAACACAUGCAAGUCGAGCGGGGAAAGGUAGCUUGCUACCUGACCUAGCGGCGGACGGGUGAGUAAUGCUUAGGAAUCUGCCUAUUAGUGGGGGACAACAUUCCGAAAGGAAUGCUAAUACCGCAUACGCCCUACGGGGGAAAGCAGGGGAUCUUCGGACCUUGCGCUAAUAGAUGAGCCUAAGUCAGAUUAGCUAGUUGGUGGGGUAAAGGCCUGCCAAGGCGACGAUCUGUAGCGGGUCUGAGAGGAUGAGCCGCCAGACUGGGACUGAGACACGGCCCAGACGCCUACGGGAGGCAGCAGUGGGAAAUAUUGGACAAUGGGCGAAAGCCUGAUCCAGCCAUGCCGCGUGUGUGAAGAAGGCCUUUUGGUUGUAAAGCACUUUAAGCGAGGAGGAGGCUACUUGGAUUAAUACUCUAGGAUAGUGGACGUUACUCGCAGAAUAAGCACCGGCUAACUCUGUGCCAGCAGCCGCCGCGGUAA